GCGGUUGUGGCUCAGUGGUAGAGUACUUGCCUCACAUGUGAGGCACUGGGUUAGAUUCUCAGCACCACA
rnacentral:tRNA from 1 species